rnacentral:lncRNA from 1 species
AUUUGAGGCUUUACUCUGUACCCUUACCUUAAGUGGUCUAAAUAAAUUAUGUAAUUUAUUUUUCACAAAAACUCAAUAAAUAAUUUCUGUUAUUGUCCCUACUUUACAGGCAAGGACCAGAGAGAGAAAACAAGGUCACGCUGCUAGUAAGGUGUGGUUUCAGGAUUCAACUUCAGUAAAUCUAACUCCAAAACUGUGCCCUUUUCUGCUUUUUUGUAUAUUUUGCUACUGCUAUUUCAAACAUUGGCCUUCAAGUCUUAAAAGACCACCAGGAAAAUCCGUAACCAGGCAAUGGACUAUUUCAUAUAAUAGAGUUUCUUGCUCAUGUGUUUAAGGAAUGGCUUGGUCAGCUCUGAUAAAAGACUGCCACUGAGUUCAGGUAAUUUCACCUGUACCAAUUUUGGACUUUGGUUGAGGACAGCAGAUACAGGGAACAUUUACUUUUCAUGGAGGAAAUGGAAGUUCCUAGAGAGGUUUAAUAAAUCGUCUGUGCACCUGAAUAUUUUAAAUACAUUAUGAUCACAGACCUUGACAUCUGGUGCAGUUGUGCCAAGACCAAAAGUCUUAACUGAGGUUGCAUUCUAUAAUGACCUGCUAUAUUUCAGUGAGUUUUUGCAUGCUUUUUUUCUGACAUCUUAGGCCCUAGGAGGCGUGUAUCUUAUUAAUAUUUAAGGAUCCUGUGUUCAACUUCUUUGUAAAUAUAACUUUUAAAUUUAAGUUUUAAUGUUCUUCAGUUAUUGUAACAUAUGUUUUAGGUUAAUCACAUGAAGUCAUAAAACAUGGCUACUGUAGGAGAUAGUUAAACUUCAAAAAAUGAAAACUGCUGUUAAUUAUUUAAAAUGUAAAUGUGUUCUAGGGAAAUAGCUAGCUUCUUUUUAAGCUGUCUUCUCUUUUAGCUCCCCCCCACCCCAUCACAUAACUUGAUGUUGCAUAGUUCACAAAUUACAUAACAUGAAACUCAAUAGAUUAUAUCUAAUUUUGAGGUAUUUAUUCAUUUUUCCUAGCUGUAGAGGUUAUCAGAAUCUUGUAUUUUUGAAGAUGCUACUUACUAUGAUGGAUUUGCUAUCAUUUUAUAGGAGAGUGGUGGUACUAUUAGUUAACCUUUUGUAUUAUUGAUUUACUGUUGAUAAUAAAUAUGAUUGUUCCUCUCA